rnacentral:lncRNA from 1 species
AAUUAGCUAGGUGCUCGCCUGUAAUCCUACCUACUCAGGAGGCUGAGGCAGGAGGAUUAUUUAAGCCCAGGAGCUUGAGGCUAUAGUGAGCCAUAAAUGCAUGCCACUGAACUCCAGCCUGGGCAACAGGGCAAGUCUCUUCAAGAAAAACAAUUGCCACCUCAAAUUGACAAACUGAAGAAGACAGACAGAUAACAGUUAUUCUGGUGCCAUGGCCAUAUAGACAAACCAGGUUUUAGGAUUUUCAAAGCCUAGAAUCAUGACACCUGAUGAUGAACCAUUAAAGUUAUGAGCCUUCGCAAAUCAUUGCUACAGAAUAUGCGCAGCAUUCUGUGGAUUGGAGAGAUGUAGCCUCGCUUCGCUUGCCUCUUUCUCCCGAGGACAGUAAUCAGUCAUAAAAACAGCUCUCCUCCUUCAUAUCAAGCCAACAGCUGGAAACUCUUCUGCAAUGUCAAAUUUAGCACGCACCCCUUACUAGGCACUGAACUUAGUCUUGUGGGUCUGCGCUACAGUCUUAAAUGAGUAUUCCCGGGCCAUAGUUUAUCCUUUAUUUUUGCGUAACAUUCUCAUUGACUUUGGUGCAACUCUAUAAAGGAAGCAAGGAUUGAAUAUCAUCCUUUAAUGCCAAAUUUACUACAGCUGAACAAAAUGAGCGGAAAUCUG